CUCAGGAUGAACGCUGGCGGCGUGCUUAACACAUGCAAGUCGAACGGACUCAGCCGAUGAGAUCUCGGAUGGAUUUGACUGAAGUUAGUGGCGGACGGGUGAGUAACGCGUGGGGAACCUGCCCCAUACCGGGGGACAACAGCUGGAAACGGCUGCUAAUACCGCAUAAGCGCACGGUGUGGCAUCACACAGUGUGAAAAACUCCGGUGGUAUGGGAUGGCCCCGCGUUGGAUUAGGCAGUUGGCGGGGUAACGGCCCACCAAACCGACGAUCCAUAGCCGACCUGAGAGGGUGACCGGCCACAUUGGGACUGAGACACGGCCCAAACUCCUGCGGGAGGCAGCAGUGGGGAAUAUUGCACAAUGGGGGAAACCCUGAUGCAGCCGACGCCGCGUGAGUGAAGAAGUAUUUCGGUAUGUAAAGCUCUAUCAGCAGGGAAGAAGAUGACGGUACCUGCAGAAGAAGCCCCGGCUAACUACGUGCCAGCCGCAGC
rnacentral:rRNA from 1 species